rnacentral:lncRNA from 1 species
AAGCAAAAAUUAAGUGUUUUCAGGGUUUUUUUCCCCCUCCCUUUGUUUUGUAUUAGCAGAUUCUUCAGUGUAUAGUGUUGGACACAGCGUGCUGAUUGGAAUCCUGUUCAAAGAUCGGAAAGGAACAGAGAGUUUCCCUUGUUUAACGACCAGACGCAGCAUCCUAUCAUCUGCCUACCCAGGUAUGACCUUUUAACUUGUUAGCAUAGUUUAACAAGCAGGCUGCUUCAACAAACUAAGAAGGCUUGAGAAAACUUCUCUAGCUCCUGGAGCACUUAAUUUUUCUGGGGCUACUUUCUGUUUUUGCAAUACUCCAACUUUUAAAAACUAGGAGCAUUUUAAAUAUUUUUUUUUUUUUUUAAAGCUUUCUGCAUCUGAUGGGAACUGCACUAUCCAUUGUCAAAGCAUCUUAGGCUCACUUUUGGCUUAGCAAGAACCUGCUUACAGCCCUCCUUGGAAAGGGCCUAAGAUGGUGAUGAUACAAAGGCAGAGCAUCUGAGAGAGGUGACAGUGAUCCUGCACUCUGCUCUGGUUUGUCAGGUCCUGCUGCUGCACUGAGUCAUACCACAGAAAAUAUGAGAAUGAUUUU